rnacentral:rRNA from 1 species
CCUACGGGUGGCUGCAGUGGGGAAUAUUGCACAAUGGUGGGAAACCCUGCUGCAGCAACGCCGCGUGAUGGAAGACGGUUUUCGGAUUUUAAACUUCUAUCACUAGGGAGGAAAGAAAUGACGGUACCUAAAUAAGAAGCCACGGCUAACUACGUGCCAGCAGCCGCGGUAAUACGGAGGGGGCCAGCGUUAUCCGGAAUUACUGGGUGUAAAGGGAGAGUAGGCGGCAAGGUAAGCGAUAUGUGAAAGCCUUAGGCUUAACCUUAGGAUUGCAUAACGUACUAUCUAGCUAGAGUACAGGAGAGGAAUGCGGAAUUCCUAGUGUAGCGGUGAAAUGCGUAGAUAUUAGGAAGAACACCAGUGGCGAAGGCGGCUUUCUGGACUGAAACUGACGCUGAGGCUCGAAAGCGUGGGGAGCGAACAGGAUUAGAUACCCUAGUAGUC